UUCCUCUACAAUUUUGGAGUGGA
rnacentral:snRNA from 1 species